rnacentral:rRNA from 1 species
UACGAAGGGGGCAAGCGUUGUUCGGAAUUACUGGGCGUAAAGGGCGCGUAGGCGGCUUAUCAAGUCAGGCGUGAAAUUCCCGGGCUCAACCUGGGGGCUGCGCUUGAUACUGAUUGGCUUGAAUGCGGGAGAGGAGAGUGGAAUUCCUGGUGUAGCGGUGAAAUGCGCAGAUAUCAGGAAGAACACCCGUGGCGAAGGCGGCUCUCUGGAACGCAACUGACGCUGAGACGCGAAAGCGUGGGGAGCAAACAGG